rnacentral:misc_RNA from 1 species
GACUCCAACAGCAAACAUCUAGUUUAAUGACUACUUGCUAAUGCUUAAUUUGGCAAAUUGUAAGUAGAAUUGACUUAUAACAAUAAGGAACAUAGAAUA